UACGGGGGGGGCAAGCGUUGUUCGGAAUUACUGGGCGUAAAGGGUUUGUAGGUGGCCGGCUAAGUCAGACGUGAAAUCCCUCAGCUUAACUGGGGAACUGCGUCUGAAACUGAUCGGCUCGAGUGCAGGAGAGGAACGCGGAAUUCCAGGUGUAGCGGUGAAAUGCGUAGAUAUCAGGAGGAACACCGGUGGCGAAGGCGGCUUUCUGGACAGAAACUGACGCUGAGGCGCGAAAGCUAGGGGGAGCAAACAGG
rnacentral:rRNA from 1 species